rnacentral:rRNA from 1 species
AUGAACGCUAGCGGGAGGCCUAACACAUGCAAGCCGAGCGGUAGAAGAUCUUCGGAUCUUUGAGAGCGGCGUACGGGUGCGGAACACGUGUGCAACCUGCCUUUAUCUGGGGGAUAGCCUUUCGAAAGGAAGAUUAAUACCCCAUAAUAUAUUGAUUGGCAUCAAUUAAUAUUGAAAACUCCGGUGGAUAGAGAUGGGCACGCGCAAGAUUAGAUAGUUGGUGAGGUAACGGCUCACCAAGUCAGUGAUCUUUAGGGG